rnacentral:rRNA from 1 species
UACGAAGGGGGGCUAGCGUUGCUCGGAAUCACUGGGCGUAAAGGGUGCGUAGGCGGACAUUUAAGUUGGAGGUGAAAGCCUUGGGCUCAACCCAAGAAUUGCCUUUGAUACUGGAUGUCUCGAGACCGGGAGAGGUGAGUGGAAUUCCGAGUGUAGAGGUGAAAUUCGUAGAUAUUCGGAAGAACACCAGUGGCGAAGGCGGCUCACUGGCCCGGUUCUGACGCUGAGGUGCGAAAGCGUGGGGAGCAAACAGG